UAAGGGCUAACUUACCAGACCCUCGAGAAGACCUCGGUGACUCUAAGGUGGGGGUAACAUAUCAAACCCCUAUAGAGCCCAAGUCGUAUGAGAAGUGGAGGGAGAUCCUUGAGGGAACCUCUGGAGGGAUAACUGAUCAGACUCUCGAAAUACCAUCGAGAGUGCAAGAUGCUGUAGGCACAAGCAUGCCGCUGGCAAACACUACUUUUCACGCGAAGAUGAGAAGUGCUGGAUGCUGUAGACACA
rnacentral:lncRNA from 1 species